rnacentral:lncRNA from 1 species
CUGGGGCUGGCCUUCCGGAUGCAUGCGACCUAAACCUGCCGGCCCAAGGCAAAUCAGCCUGGGUGCUUCGCCGCGCGACAGCAUACCCCCUGGGGCUGGCCUUCCGGAUGCAUGCGACCUAAACCUGCCGGCCCAAGGCAAAUCAGCCUGGGUGCUUCGUUGCGCGACAGCAUACCCCCUGGGGCUGGCCUUCCGGAUGCAUGCGACUAAACCUGCCGGCCCAAGGCAAAUCAGCCUGGGUGCUUCGCCGCGCGAGAGCAUACCCCCUGGGGCUGGCCUUCCGGAUGCAUGCGACCUAAACCUGCCGGCCCAAGGCAAAUCAGCCUGGGUGCUUCGCUGCGCGACAGCAUACCCCCUGGGGCUGGCCUUCCGGAUGCAUGCGACCUAAACCUGCCGGCCCAAGGCAAAUCAGCCUGGGUGCUUCGCUGCGCGACAGCAUACCCCCUGGGGCUGGCCUUCCGGAUGCAUGCGACUAAACCUGCCGGCCCAAGGCAAAUCAGCCUGGGUGCUUCGCUGCGCGACAGCAUACCCGCUGGGGCUGGCCUUCCGGAUGCAUGCGACCUAAACCUGCCGGCCCAAGGCAAAUCAGCCUGGGUGCUUCGCCGCGCGACAGCAUACCCGCUGGGGCUGGCCUUCCGGAUAGAAUGCAGCUCCACACGGUAGCUCGGGCCUUCACGAGACCUCCUUCGGAAAAACCUACAGGCUAUGGUUACUUUUGGGCAUUUGCUCCUGCCGAAGUGUGAAGCCGACGACUAGGUGCCUCUUUUCCCCGGGCGUGGCCCCCAGUGGGCGUGCCCCUGCCUAGGCGCUAUUGCGGGCUUUUGGCUGCUUUCAGGACAGGGACCCGUUGGG